rnacentral:rRNA from 1 species
UACGUAGGUGGCAAGCGUUGUCCGGAUUUACUGGGUGUAAAGGGCGCGCAGCCGGGAAGACAAGUCAGAUGUGAAAUCCCGCGGCUCAACCGCGGAACUGCAUUUGAAACUGUUUUUCUUGAGUACCGGAGAGGUCAUCGGAAUUCCUUGUGUAGCGGUGAAAUGCGUAGAUAUAAGGAAGAACACCAGUGGCGAAGGCGGAUGACUGGACGGCAACUGACGGUGAGGCGCGAAAGCGUGGGGAGCAAACAGG